AUUUUAAUAUUAUCUGAGCUUUGGCUUCUUUUUUUGGAAAAGGGAAUUCCGUAUUUUAAUUAUUAUUUUAGAAGAUUUUAGUAGUAGUAAGCCUGAAGAAGCAGCAGCAGCUGCUUUUGGGCGUAACCAUCACCAUCCCAAUCACCGCCUCUCUCCGCUCUCCUCCUCUCGAUCUCGCGAAGAUUUCGAUGGCCCUUCGGGGUAAAAACCAGAUUACACUGGAAUUCCCAUUGGUGAAGUUUGGUCGGUACCCUUUCCUUCGCCAUCGCCGCCUCACCGGUAUUUAAGUCUUAGGAGGAGAAGAUGCUGGAGGGGUUGACCCUGGACGUGAGAUUGCUCCUCAUUGUAGAGACGAAGAAGAAGGGUCCAUGCCACUGCAGCAUAGCUUUCUUGUUAACAUCUCGGACUUUCGUGGAAGCUUUUCCCUUGAUCAGUUGGUUCUCGAAUUACUCGCGGGGAUCGAGCAUUCACCAUAAGUGGAAGGAACUCGAUAUUAACUUUCUGUCUGCAUCUACCGGUUCAAAGUACUUAUUCCCACCCACGCAAUCUUCUCAUUUCUGAGCAUACUGUGACGCACAUCCAGAUCUAUGGGGGAAACAGAUUUGUUGUGCCUCAACCCUUCCAUUCCAGCAUUUUACUCACCAUCCAAGACUGAGGAAUGGUUUAGUCGGUUUGAGUACAGACACAAAUGAAGGCGUUUCGCGGACUGGUUAGCUCUCAAUGAAAUCUUUGCCCAAAGUUCAUUUUGAUAACUAUUCAUGUUCUGCUUCAUGGAUUCAAAGAUGCAUAGCUCU